rnacentral:rRNA from 1 species
UACGUAGGGUGCGAGCGUUGUCCGGAAUUAUUGGGCGUAAAGGGCUCGUAGGCGGUCUGUCACGUCGGGAGUGAAAACACGGGGCUUAACCCCGUGCCUGCUUCCGAUACGGGCAGACUAGAGGUAUGCAGGGGAGAACGGAAUUCCUGGUGUAGCGGUGAAAUGCGCAGAUAUCAGGAGGAACACCGGUGGCGAAGGCAGCUUUCUGGCCUAAGACUGACGCUGAGGUGCGAAAGCGUGGGGAGCGAACGGG